rnacentral:rRNA from 1 species
GUACCGGGAGUAACGCCUGGCAUGGUCUAAGUUUAAAUUCUAUAUGGUGAACUGCGAUGGCUCAUUCAAACAGUUAUAGUAUAUUUGAUAACUUUUUAGACGGAUAACCGUUGGGAAACCAGAGCUAAUACGUGCUUAUAAUGCCCUCGGGCAGUAUUUAUUAGUUAUAAACCAAGAUCUAUCUUGUGUUGAAUCGUAAUAACUGAUCGGACCGCGUUUAGUACGCGGUAAAUCUCGCUAGUUCCCGCCCUAUCAGCUGUCGAUGGUAGUGUAUCGGACUACCAUGGCUAUCACGGGUAACGGAGAAUUAGGGUUCGAUUCCGGAGAGGGAGCCUGAGAAACGGCUACCACAUCCACGGUAGGCAGCAGGGCGCGUAAAUUUACCCAAUCUUGACUCAGGGGAGGUAGUCACGAGAAAUAUUAGCUUGGGCCUUUUCGGCUAAAUACAUUUAUGGGUUUGAAUAUAGACCAUUUUUUCGAAAUCAAUUUGGAGGGCAAGU